rnacentral:rRNA from 1 species
CCCUUAGAUGUUCUGGGCCGCACGCGUGCUACACUGAGUAAUUCAAUGGGUAAGGGAACGCUAGAGCAUUACCUAAUCUUGAAAUUUGCUCGUGAUGGGGAUCGACGGUUGCAAUUUUCCGUCGUGAACGAGGAAUACCUUGUAGGCGCAUGUCAUCAUCAUGCGCCGAAUACGUCCCUGCCCUUUGUACACACCGCCCGUCGCUCCUACCGAUUGAGUGAUCCGGUGAGGCUCUGGGACCUGGACGGAAAGAGCGUUUCGCUUGUUCUGUUUGGGAAACUUGGUCGAACCUUAUCAUUUAGAGGAAGGAAAAGUCGUAACA